AACGAACGCUGGCGGCAUGCCUAACACAUGCAAGUCGAACGAACCCUUCGGGGUUAGUGGCGCACGGGCGCGUAACGCGUGGGAAUCUGCCCUUUGCUUCGGAAUAACUCAGGGAAACUUGUGCUAAUACCGGGUGAUGUCUUCGGACCAAAGAUUUAUCGGCAAGGGAUGAGCCCGCGUAGGAUUAGGUAGUUGGUGGGGUAAAGGCCUACCAAGCCGACGAUCCUUAGCUGGUCUGAGAGGAUGAUCAGCCACACUGGGACUGAGACACGGCCCAGACUCCUACGGGAAGCAGCAGUGGGGAAUAUUGGACAAUGGGCGCAAGCCUGAUCCAGCAAUGCCGCGUGAGUGAUGAAGGCCCUCGGGUCGUAAAGCUCUUUUACCAGGGAUGAUAAUGACAGUACCUGGAGAAUAAGCUCCGGCUAACUCCGUG
rnacentral:rRNA from 1 species